rnacentral:rRNA from 1 species
AUACGGAGGGUGCAAGCGUUGUUCGGAAUUACUGGGCGUAAAGCGCGUGCAGGCGGUAAGGUAAGUCAGAUGUGAAAGCCCCGGGCUCAACCCGGGAAGUGCAUUUGAUACUGCCUUUCUUGAGUAUGGGAGAGGAGAGUGGAAUUCCCAGUGUAGAGGUGAAAUUCGUAGAUAUUGGGAGGAACACCCGUGGCGAAGGCGACUCUCUGGACCAAUACUGACGCUGAGACGCGAAAGCGUGGGGAGCAAACAGGAUUAGAUACCCCAGUAGUCC